GAUGAACGCUGGCGGCGUGCCUAAUACAUGCAAGUCGAGCGAACAGACGAGGAGCUUGCUCCUCUGACGUUAGCGGCGGACGGGUGAGUAACACGUGGAUAACCCACCUAUAAGACUGGGAUAACUUCGGGAAACCGGAGCUAAUACCGGAUAAUAUAUUGAACCGCAUGGUUCAAUAGUGAAAGACGGUUUUGCUGUCACUUAUAGAUGGAUCCGCGCCGCAUUAGCUAGUUGGUAAGGUAACGGCUUACCAAGGCAACGAUGCGUAGCCGACCUGAGAGGGUGAUCGGCCACACUGGAACUGAGACACGGUCCAGACUCCUACGGGAGGCAGCAGUAGGGAAUCUUACGCAAUGGGCGAAAGCCUGACGGAGCAACGCCGCGUGAGUGAUGAAGGUCUUCGGAUCGUAAAGCUCUGUUAUUAGGGAAGAACAAAUGUGUAAGUAACUAUGCACGUCUUGACGGUACCUAAUCAGAAAGCCACGGCUAACUACGUG
rnacentral:rRNA from 1 species